GAAAAGAUUAAUUGGUUGCUCGAUUUGCUCUUGAUUAGACAAUGUCAAUUCAGAAGAGAAAAAGAUGGAAACAUCUAUACAAUAGAUUGAAUGCUCUUGCUUGCUCAUAUAGCUUCCUAAAAGAUUGAAGAAACACAACAACUUUUUUCAUGCCUCAUGGAAUGAGGAAUUUUAGAUCAUCAGUUUGAUGAUGGAUUUGAAUGUUGCAAGUGUUUUUGGGUGAGAAGCAACAUGAUAUCCUGAGUUUGUCACAGAAUCUCAUCAACAGAUGUUGUCAUCCCUUAUUGGAAGCACAUGAAUCAAUGAUGUACAGUUACCAA